rnacentral:lncRNA from 1 species
AUAAAAAUUAAUUUUUUAAAUAUUUUUUUGAAUUAUACUAUUUUGAAAUUCCAACCCUAAACCCUAAAACUCAACUCUAAACCCUAAACCAUCAAUCAUAAACCCUAUUUUUUUUAAAUACGAACCCUAAACCUUGAAACAUCAACUCUAAACCCUAAACCCCGAAACAUCAACUCCAAACCCUAAACCCUAAACCUUCAACUUUAAACCCUAAAACAUCAACACUAAACCUUAAACCUUAAACCCUAAACAAUCAACACUAAACCCUAAACUAUCAACAUUAAACCCUAAACCCUAAAAAGCAAACUCUAAACCCUAAAAAAUUAACCCUAAACCCUAAAACAUCAACUCUAAACCCUAAACCCUAAACUUUCAACUCUAAACCUUAAACUCUAAACCCUAAAGCCUUAGAAUUGAUGUUUUAGGGUUUAGAUCUGAAAGUUUAGGGUUUUAGGGUUUAGGGUUUACGUUUAGGGUUUAGAGUUGAUGUUUUAGGGUUUAGAUUUGAAGGUUUAGGGUUUAGGGUUUAGAGUUGAUGUUUCGGGGUUUAGAGUUUAGAGUUGAUGUUUCAUGGUUUAGGGUUUAGAGUUGAUGAUUUAGGGUUUAAAGUUGAUAUUUUAAGUUUAGAUUUAGGGUUUACGUUUAUCAUUUAGAGUUGAUAUUUUAGGGUUUAUAUUUGAAGGUUUAGGAUUUAGGGUUUAGAGUUGAUGUUUCGGGGUUUAUGGUUUAGAGUUGAUGUUUCAUGGUUUAGGGUUUAGGGUUUAGAGUUGAUGGUUUAGGGUUUAGAGUUGAUGUUUUAAGUUUAGAUUUGUUACCCAUAUGUUUUUUUUUGUCAAACUUAAUCAAAUGGUUAUAAAUGUAUUUUACCUUUCAUUUUUUUUUUUGAGGUGGUCUGGGUAACCAAACCGGAAUAAAACAACCAAUAAAAUGCAACUCCCUAUGGAAAGAUCUAGCAGUCUUACCUAAAAAAUCAGAAGUCUGAUUGCGCGCCCGUGGAACAUGAGUGAUUUUGAAGUUAGGAAAGCAUAUAUGUAACGUUUCUAUCCUCUCCAAUUCCGUCGCAAAGCUUGGCCAAGCUUGGGGGUCCUUUAUCAUUGCAAUCAGUUCCUUACAGUCUGUCCCGAACCUUUGACAUGUUGAAUGUUGAAGCAUGUUCUCCAUCGCCCAUCGCACUGCUUCUACUUCCGAAUGUAAAGCUGAUUCGCGUCGCGGAAAUUUUUUUGUCCCCAUAAGUUGAAUGUUCCCAGCACUGUCUAUCCAUACCCAUCCACAUCCACUAAAGUGAGCCGAUGAUGUCAAAGAUCCAUCUAGCAAGCAAAUAUUACCCAAGCUUAUGGCUUGGAGUUCCUCAGGAUUAUUUUAUUGUACCACUGGUUGUACCGCUUCAUUGGCAUCAAACCAGGCUUGACAUUCACUUUAUGCAUGUCGAACUAGAUCCAAAGGAUCUCUAUCUAUUCCCCUGAAAAGUUUUUCAUUCCUAGCCUUCCAAAUAUAUCAUAUUAUCCAGGGAUAAGGAUCUCUAUCUUGCUCUGGCACAAUAAUGUUGUUUUUCCUCCAGAAUAGAUAGUCCAUAUUUGUGUAGACGCUUGAUACCGGAAAAAUAUAUGUGCUUGUUGGAGUUGAUGAUAGAUACCAAACUUGGAGAGCUGGUGGACAUUCGAAAAUGGCAUUAGUUACAGUCUCUUCUAUUUCUCCACAUCUUGGGCAGUAGUUGUCACACCUCAUAUUGCGCCUUAUUAAACCCUAAAAAGCAAACUCUAAACCCUAAAAAAUUAACCCUAAACCCUAAAACAUCAACUCUAAACCCUAAACCCUAAACUUUCAACUCUAAACCUUAAACUCUAAAC